UACGUAGGGUGCGAGCGUUAAUCGGAAUUACUGGGCGUAAAGCGUGCGCAGGCGGUUUUGUAAGCCAGGUGUGAAAUCCCCGGGCUCAACCUGGGAAUGGCAUUUGGGACUGCAAGGCUGGAGUGUGGCAGAGGAGACUGGAAUUCCUGGUGUAGCAGUGAAAUGCGUAGAUAUCAGGAGGAAUACCGAUGGCGAAGGCAGGUCUCUGGGCUGACACUGACGCUCAUGCACGAAAGCGUGGGGAGCAUACAGG
rnacentral:rRNA from 1 species